AUUGAACGCUGGCGGCAGGCCUAACACAUGCAAGUCGAGCGAGCGGCGGACGGGUGAGUAAUGUAUGGGGACUGCCCGAUGGAGGGGGAUAACUACUGGAAACGGUAGCUAAUACCGCAUACUAUCGGAUAACCCAGAUGGGAUUAGCUAGUAGGUGGGGUAAUGGCUCACCUAGGCGACGAUCCCUAGCUGGUCUGAGAGGAUGACCAGCCACACUGGGACUGAGACACGGCCCAGACUCCUACGGAGGCAGCAGUGGGGAAUAUUGCACAAUGGGCGCAAGCCUGAUGCAGCCAUGCCGCGUGUAUGAAGAAGGCCUUAGGGUUGUAAAGCACUUUCAGUCGGGAGGCGUUACCGACAGAAGAAGCACCGGCUAACUCCGUGCCAGCAGCCGCGGUAAUAC
rnacentral:rRNA from 1 species